UCUCUCUGCUCCGGAGGAGUGAGGCAGACAGACAGGGGUGUGCUAGCUGGCUAAAUUAGCAUUAGAUUAUUGUCUAUCUAUACAGCUAAUGUUAACAUUACUAUUGACCUUAUUUGUGG